CACGCUACGCUGCGGUACGGACACGGUACAGCCUCAUCGCCACGCCACCGACGAAAGAAAGCUUGGACGAGUGAAGGGAGAUGCCGCCAGCAGCUCCGCGCCGAAUAAUCCUGCUGGCCGCGGCGGCGGCGGCGGCGGCGCUGCUGCUGAUGUGGCCGGCCGCCCGCGUCACGGCCGACGACGGCAGCACGGCAUUCUUGCCGCCGCCACCGGGGCCCGCGUCGCCGUUCCCGUUCUGCCCGGCGCGGCCGCCUGGGGUGUCGUCGGGGCCGUUCCCCUGGUCGCCGCCGUCGUCGUCGCCGCCGCCGCCGCCGUCGGUGGCGAUGUUCCCUCAGGACCCGGGGUUCCUGCCGUCGGGGGCGUGCCCCGUCGGCGGCGCGGCGGUGGCGUGGCUGCUGCUGCUGCCGCUGCUCGCUGUGCUCUCUGCUUUCUUGCCGCUUUCGCAGUGACUCUCGCGGUUGCUGCCCCUGGAUGGAUGUGAUGUGUCCGUAGUCGCUCAGUUGGAUCGGAGAUCAAGAUUUACUUAUUUUUUCUUUUUUUUUUAACGAAGCUAGGAAAGAGGCAUUCUUUCUUGUUUGCCUUUCUUUCUUUCUUUCUUUUCGAAGGCAUAGCCACAUAGGUCUGUCUGUUUCUUUCUUCUCGAGAGAAGGGAUAUCUUCGUGUACAACCGUGUGGCUCCAUUCAUGCAAUCCAGGACUCGGCAGAUACAGCUUUUGAGUAAAACAAAUCUCGCUGGCGUUACAGGUUCUGAAAUUUCACUAACUUUGCUUCAGAGCGCUCGCUUCGCUUGUGGCUUGGAAACUCAAAUUCUCUCUCUCGGGUUUGGAAGGGAUUGAGGACUAAUUUCUACUCCAAUCUACUCCAAUCCAAAAAGGGAAUUGGAGUUCCAAAACUAGCCCUAACCAUUGUUAUUGCCCUACGUG
rnacentral:misc_RNA from 1 species